CCUAUUGGUUUUCUACAUAAUUUAUUCGUAUUUCUCUGAGUGUUGAUUAUUGCAAUAGUGCUAAUACGUUUGCGCAUCGACAGGUGAACGCAACAAACUAAUCAAUGAGCCACUCGGCGGAUAUACAAAGCACCCCGUGCAGCUUUACAAUGGCGCCACCUGCUGGCUGAGUGGAAUAAGACUGCGUAACAAUCCAAAAGAAUGGAUGAAAGAAUGUGAAAUCUGUACAGACAGCUGCCAGAGAUCAAUCAAUCAAUCAAUUUGUAUAUUUGAUCAAGAGGGACAGUGUACAUUCAUGAACAUUAAAAUGUAAAUGCACCCAUUUAUAGCCAAAAGGGGCCUGUUAGGUAACAUAUGUAUUGGGAAAUUUGGACAGGGAUGUUGGACUUCUGCCUUCUAUUAUCACAUAUCCUUCUAUUAUUUUUAACAAUACUGAAAUGUAGAGAGGGCCCUUUCUGGAGAGAUUGUCUUGCAUUCUGAUUGGGUCAUCAGCUUAGCCUGAUCCACAUUUUGACCCUCUGAUGCUUUUGGACAAGCAUGUCUCAAAUGCAGUUCAUGUAUUUUUCUAUGAAACUGAAACCACCUAACACCCCAGUGAAAAACAGCUGAAUCUCUGCGUCCGCUUGUGGUUUGUGGAUGGACAGUGAAGCAAGCAGCCUGACUUACUAUGGCAACUUCAACAAGAUCAACAGUAUAUCAUAACAAUGAUGUACAGAUUAUACAACUAGAGCAAUGUUUCUGACACAUUAUCCUAUUUGAGCCAAAGAUAAGGAAGGCUCCCAAUGCAUGAUUUAUCAUCUACCUUAACGGUGGUUCAAUCUCCGUGAUCAGUGAGUGAUGAGGUGCACCUGUUAGUGAUUCAGCAGAAUGACCUGGCCAGAGGAAAGGGAAUGGGACAAAUCCAUGAGAAAAAGAAACACAGCCAAGCCCACACGAACUAAAGAUGCAGCACUCGAUUGCAUACAUUUGCAUACAACUAAAUUUGGAGCGCUGCUCCUGUUGGUGCGACGAGGGAUAACAUAUAACACAACAACAGUACAACUAGCUAAUAAAAUAGAGUUCAACAAAGUGCGGUAGUAUAGAUUGCAAGUACUUCCCUGAGGUGCUUUCCAAUAAAUACUAUCUAAUAUAAGAUAGCAGACAUAGGGAAAGGUUAAAAAUACAAUGCGAAUACAUUGCACUCACCUUUUAAAAUAAUUGUUUUCAACUUGUGAUUUAGGAUCAAGGGAUCCCAAAACUACAUACAGAGCAAUUCCUUGUGUGUUCACUUUGUCAGAACACUCACAUGCACACACAAACAAAUCCUUUUCGUCUGUUGGAAGUGAAUAAUCUGGCUGUGAUUAGUUGCACAUAGUUGGGCUGUUCUUGGUGGUGGAAAGGCUUGUGUCUCAACUUGAAUUCUUCUACACCACUGUAGAUGUUCCAGUUGCUCAGAGUUGGCUGCCUGAUGUGAUGCCUGACGCGUGCAGUUUUGAGUGGAACAAUCUACUGCCUCCCCCUUCUUAACCCGCAACACAGGGGUCAGGGGUCACCAGUUGGCUUGAUCUUGUCAGUUCUUGCUGCUUGAUGAACACAUCAAGUUCUGAACAGAAAGUUCUAUUUUUCAACCCUAUGACCUACAUUUACUCAUCGAGAGACUUAUAGCACAGAUACAGUGACAUGCAAAAGUUUGAGCACCUCUGGUCAAACGUUCUGUUACUGUGAAUAGAUAAAAAAAAAGCAUAAAGUUAAUGACACAUUUCUUUACUAUUUUUUUUUUUUUUACCAAGAUUACUUUUCUAUUUCUACCUUGUACACUUUGGGACUGACAGGGCUAUGGCCCUCAGCUUGUGCCUCUUGAGGUAAUCUAUUGUGGCUUUUGAGGUGUGUUUAAGAUCAUUAUCCUGUUGUAGAAACCACCCUCUUCAUCUUCGGCUUUGAUUGUGUGAUGUUUGCUUCCAGAAUUGGCUGAUAUCUAACGGAAUUCAUUCUUUCCUCUACCAGUGAAAUGUUCCCCAUUGCCAUUGGCUGCUUCACCAGCCCGACGCAUUACUGAUCCAGCCCUGUGCGUAAUAGGUGGAGAGGUCUUCUUCUCCUGCCCCCUUUUUUCUCCAAAUAUACCUUUGCUCAUUGUGGCCGAAGAGUUCUAUUUUCACUUGAGUCGUCCAAAAUGCGGCACUGAGACUUUUGACAAGGACCAAGAAGUUUGAUCGCAUCCCAUACCUACUGGCUCCCAGUGAAGUUAAGGAUUGAUUUAAAGAUUUUAUUGUUUGUUUUUAAGCCUGUGAAUGGCACUGAUACUUUUGACAAGGACCAAGAAGUUUGAUCACAUCAUACCUGUUUUACCUACUGGCUCCCAGUGAAGUUAAGGAUUGAUUAAAAGAUUUUAUUGUCUGUUUUUAAGCCUGUGAAUGGUCUAGCUCCAGCCUAUAUUUCAGAUCUCCUGACACCUUAUGCUCCGUGAUGGGCCUUAAGAUCCUCAAAUGAACUUUUCCUAGUUUUACCUGGGUCUAAUUUGAAAUGUAAAGGGUGAUCAAGCUUUUACUGUUGUUGGCCCUGAAUGAUAAAAUACCCUCCCAUUACACAUCAGAUCAGCUGCCUGUAUAGAAACUUUUAAAAAUAGAUUAAAAACGUACUUUCACACA